rnacentral:misc_RNA from 1 species
GACGAAGAACGUAGCGAAAUGCGAUAAGUAAUGUGAAUUGCAGAAUUCAGUGAAUCAUCGAAUCUUUGAACGCACCUUGCGCCCUUUGGCCAUUCCGAAAGGCAUGCCUGUUUGAGUAUCAUGAACACCUCAACUCUUUAUGGUUUUCCAUGAUGAGCUUGGACUCUGGGGGUUUUGCUGGCUCACAGUCGGCUCCUCUAAAAUGAAUCAGCUUACCAGUGUUUGGUGGGUAUCAUGGGUGUGAUAACUAUCUACGCUUGUGGUUUUUCCACCAGGUAACCUUCAGCAGUGGAGGUUCGCUGGAGCUCAUAGAUGUCUCUCCUCAGUGAGGACAGCCCUUUGAAUGUUUGAUCUCAAAUCAGGUAGGACUACCCGCUGAACUUAAGCAUAUCAAUAAGCGGAGGA